rnacentral:rRNA from 1 species
AUGAACGCUGACAGAAUGCUUAACACAUGCAAGUCUACUUGAAUUCUCUUCGGAGAUAGUAAGGUGGCGGACGGGUGAGUAACACGUAAAGAACUUGCCCUGCAGUCUGGGACAACUAUUGGAAACGAUAGCUAAUACCGGAUAUUAUGCGAGAGCCGCAUGGCUCUUUCAUGAAAGCUAUAUGCGCUGCAGGAGAGCUUUGCGUCCCAUUAGUUAGUUGGUGAGGUAACGGCUCACCAAGACCGCGAUGGGUAGCCGGCCUGAGAGGGUGAACGGCCACAAGGGGACUGAGACACGGCCCUUACUCCUACGGGAGGCAGCAGUGGGGAAUAUUGGACAAUGGACCAAAAGUCUGAUCCAGCAAUUCUGUGUGCACGAUGACGGUCUUAGGAUUGUAAAGUGCUUUCAAUCGGGAAAAAGAAAGUGAUGGUACCGAUAGAAGAAGCGACGGCUAAAUACGUGCCAGCAGCCGCGGUAAUACGUAUGUCGCAAGCGUUAUCCGGAUUUAUUGGGCGUAAAGCGCGUCUAGGCGGUCUGGUAAGUCUGAUGUGGAAAUGCGGGGCUCAACUCCGUAUUGCGUUGGAAACUGCCAGACUAGAGUACUGGAGAGGUGGGCGGAACUACAAGUGUAGAGGUGAAAUUCGUAGAUAUUUGUAGGAAUGCCGAUAGAGAAGUCAGCUCACUGGACAGAUACUGACGCUGAAGCGCGAAAGCAUGGGGAGCAAACAGGAUUAGAUACCCUGGUAGUCCAUGCCGUAAACGAUGAUUACUAAGCGUCGGGGGUCGAACCUCGGCACUCAAGCUAACGCGAUAAGUAAUCCGCCUGGGGAGUACGUACGCAAGUAUGAAACUCAAAGGAAUUGACGGGCACCCGCACAAGCGGUGGAGCAUGCUGUUUAAUUCGAAGAUACGCGAAGAACCUUACCUAGACUUGACAUCCCUGGCAAAGCUAUGGAAACAUAGUGGAGGUUACCCAGGUGACAGGUGGUGCAUGGUUGUCGUCAGCUCGUGUCGUGAGAUGUUGGGUUAAGUCCCGCAACGAGCGCAACCCCUAUUGUAUGUUGCCAUCAUUAAGUUGGGCACUCAUGCGAUACUGCCUGCGACGAGCAGGAGGAAGGUGGGGAUGACGUCAAGUCAUCAUGCCCCUUAUAUGCUGGGCUACACACGUGCUACAAUGGGCAGUACAGAGAGAAGCAAAUCUGCGAGGAGGAGCAAACCUCAGAAAGCUGUUCGUAGUUCGGAUUGUACUCUGCAACUCGAGUACAUGAAGUUGGAAUCACUAGUAAUCGCAAAUCAGCAAUGUUGCGGUGAAUACGUUCUCGGGUCUUGUACACACCGCCCGUCACACCACGAGAGUUGAUUGCACCUGAAGUAGCAGGCCUAACCGUAAGGAAGGAUGCUCCGAGGGUGUGGUUAGCGAUUGGGGUG